UACGUAGGGGGCAAGCGUUGUCCGGAAUUACUGGGCGUAAAGGGCUUGUAGGCGGCCAACUAAGUCCGACGUGAAAUCCCCAGGCUUAACCUGGGAACUGCGUCGGAUACUGGAUGGCUUGAAUUCGGGAGAGGGAUGCAGAAUUCCAGGUGUAGCGGUGAAAUGCGUAGAUAUCUGGAGGAAUACCGGUGGCGAAGGCGGCAUCCUGGACCGGCAUUGACGCUGAGGAGCGAAAGCUAGGGGAGCAAACGGG
rnacentral:rRNA from 1 species